CCCGUCGUAGCUCAGUGGUAGAGCGAGCGGCUGUAGGUGUCACGUAGUAGUUACCGCUAGGUCCCUGGUUCAACUCCAGGUGACGGGA
rfam:Intoshia linei isolate Intl2013 Contig_29008, whole genome shotgun sequence.